CUCAGGUGGGAACUCCUUUUUGCGAACCCCUAUUUGCUGCUUCAUCUCAGCCAUCAAAGUAAUCUCAACGGCUGGAAAGAAAAAGAGAGCUUACAAUAGAAAUGGGUACGCUGCAAUUCCCCUUAAGGCACGUAUCCUGGCACGCCUUUUCAAAUCCCGCCUUUUUCCAUCCAAUCGCGCCUAUUUUUUUCGGACUCCCUCUUUUUCCUCUCAGACAAAUUCUCCUCUCUCUCUCACCUGUUUAUUCUCUCCGUGAGUGGCGAUUAGGUUAGGGUUGAUAACAGUUACUGUUCACGUUUUUCCCAUCUCCUUCACCUCCUCCACGCACAUAGUACCCAUACACCGACAUCGCCUCCCUCAGACAUCUAUGAAUCCCAAGAAAAUCUUUAAGUUUUUAGAAUUCUAACCUUCAAAUAUAUUUCAUAAAAUCCUAAUUUUAAUUUUUUUUGUUCAUUCUCUCUCACGACUGCCUUCCUUGCCCGCCAGUGUAGGAGGUAAAGUGAGGGGCCUUGGCUCUGUCUUGGGCCUGUUUCCCUGUUACUUGGAUCUGUUACUCUAUUUUGCUGUUUCAGUGAGCUUUUGUUGUUGUUUGGGAUCGUAAGAUGUUUUUCCGUAGACUAGUUUUGGCCUCGACGGCUCUCUUUCUCGCCGGCGCUCUCUUUCUUGAUGUCUCUCUCUCUCUCUCUGGUUCGCUCGGUCUCGCGCUCUCUCUCCAUGGGAGCCUCCCUUCCUCCAUGGAUCCAUAGGAAACACUGACUGUCUCUCCAUCUCUCUCUCGCCGGCUCUCUCUUUCGACUGGUCUCUCUCGCCGUCAAACCUUCCUCUAUUCCAUAGAAACCCAUUUGAUUGAAACUUGGCAACAAAGAGAAUGCUCUGUGUAAGUUUCUGAACCAAUAUUUCUUUUUUGAUUUUUCUCCGUUUCCUUUGUAUCUGCCAGGAAAUGCAUUUAAUUAUUCACUAUCGAUGUGACUUGGGCAACAGAUGAGAUGAAUAAGGGCAUUUUGUUGAUAUGGGGCAGUAUUAUGAGAUAAAUAUGCAAUAUUUUGCUGAUAAUUCAAAGCUUAAGAAACAUGGCUGUAAGGUGAGAAAACACUAUCUCUAACUUAGCACAAAAGUAUUGGCAAAAUGUGAAUUAUGCCAUUUUUACGUUUUGUUUCUCCAUCAAUUUGAUGACUUUGUAUCUGUAUUCAGUUUUAAGUUUUAACAGGUUUGACCACCUAAGCUGUCUCCACCACCACCAUAUCCCUUUAGUUUUCUAAUUGUUAAUUCAGUUUGUUAUGUAAUUUUGAUAUAUUGUUCAUGUUUGGGUAGUGUUUGAGUAUUUCUAGUUUAAGCCUCAAUCUAAAACUGUGAUGUGUACAGGUUUUCUGUUUUCUUAAAAAAAUAGAACAGAGACUUUGGCACAUCUUUUCUCAAAUCGGCUGAUUCCUUUGCUGCAAUAGGUCAAGGCCCUCCUACUGCAAACUCUCCUUCUUUUGGUCCUUCACUUUGAGCUCAAAAUGCUCAUCAUCUUUUGAAACAGAUGUGGCUGCUUCAGUUGCUGAGAAUAUGCACCCUACGUAGAAGACGCAGAAUAGUGAACGUAUUGUGCAGCCUAAUCCGACAAAGGCAUUUUUGCAAGACUUUGAUUUAAUGCACGGACCCUGCAUUUGAGUAGUUAUCGUUACAUUUUCACAUGAUUGUUGAGUUUUAAUCAAUCGUUUGUGAGACUUUUUUUUUUGGGUCUGAAUCGUUUGUGAGACUUAUGUAUGUUCAUAUCUGAUACUGAAGGUUAAUCUAAAAUUGACAUAAACUA